AAUCUUAUAGUUUAUAUAAAUAAAAAUAUUAAAUUGCAAAUUUAAAGAAUUUUAAUUAGAAAAAUUAAGAUUU
rnacentral:tRNA from 1 species